AGGUGGGCCGGCGCCGGAAGUCCCCAGGCUGACCUGGCCCGGGGUCGGGGAGCGAGGCCUGCGGUGGGACGGGGUCACUGGAGCGCGGGUCCUUAACUCCUUGUUCCCCGGGGCUACUCCGGAGGAAGAUGCACCUUGAAGAGCACAGUGUCCCCCGAAGCCGAGGGUAACAGGCGGCCGUGGGAGUUCCUCGGGAGGUCCCCCCCUUCACCUACAUCUAAGGAGACUGUUGUGGGGGAGCUCUGAGGAAGACUACUCUUGUUCCAGGAAGAAUGGUUUCGUGCCAAGCAAGGAGCCGUCCCCAAGGGAGCAUGUGUGAUGCUCCAAUGAGCAGCACGAUGAAACCUGCUGUAGGAGUUGGCAGAUGUGAUGUGGGGGUGUCCAGGUAGGAGGCUCGGGACUCACCUGUGCCCUUCACCUGGAAGUCAGUGCGGCGCUGCAGCGUGGAUGGCAGCUCAUUCAACCGCAGGCUCAGCUGCCGUUUGAAAGGUGGAGGCGGCCCCAGCCCUCCCCCAGGCCUGGCCUGAUGCGGUGGAGACAGCCCAGGACAGGGUGGAACCAGGAAACCACCUCUGUCCCCACCUCAGUGUAUGACCUCAGGAAGUCCCCUCCCCUCUCUGGGCCCCAGUUUCCCUCACUGAAACCUUGGGAUAAACAUCCUUGGGCUACCUCCCCCGGCCUCUAAGGCAGGCUCAGCUGAGGCAGUGAACAUUAAAUGCUUUGUAAUCCGACAAAAGUUUAGUAAACAGCUUUGUGCAAAGUGCCCUGCUCCAUAAAGUCCUAAAGAAAACUGGAAAGAACGCUGUCACCGUGCAGUGCCUUGAGACUGUGAAUCCCUGAAAGAACAGCAAGAUACAUCACUGGGUAAACUCUCAUUUGCUGUGCAAACAGUAAAGUGCUGUGUACAAUGCAAAGUACUUGGAAACUACAAUAUUCUUUGGAAAUCGUAAAACCCUUUGCAAACUCUAAAGGACUUUGUAAUGUGCUUUGAUGUGACAACAUUCUUUGGAACUCUUUAUAUCCUCUGAAAACAGUAAAAAAAAGUAUAUAAACUGCAAAGAACUGUGAACUCAAUGGUGUUCUUUGUAAACCAGAAAACAUCAUAUACUCCAUCAUACCCUCUGUCAACUUUACUUUGUAAUCUGCUUUGCCAGUGAUAACAUUCUUUAUAAAUUCUAAUACACUCUAAAGUGUAAACUACUUUUAUACUGUGAAUAACCUUUAGAGGGGUUUGUAAGUGGUCAUGUGAUUUGCAAAUAAAAACACAUCUUG